GUUCACUUCCUCUCUGACCCUCUCUGCUGGCACUGUCAACCUAGCAGGUGGACGGGGUCUCAGACUUUCAGGCCGCUACUCAGGGCUCAAGCUGAGAAGCAGCAACAGCUAGGAUGGCUGGGGGAUUCACGCCUGAGCAACGCCCGCCCCAGACAGGAAGCUUGGCGCGGGGGGCCCCCGAGCUGGCCCCCACGUGGGUACCCUUGAUCCCCUCUCCUCAGGGGUCUAGACGACCUCCUCCAGGACCAGGCGGGAAGCCGCCCCAUCUCAGAAAUGGUUCACCUCUGCAGCAAGCCUACGCUGUGUUCACACGUGAAACGAAGGGAACACCAUUUACGAUGUCAGAGACGCUGGAAGAACAGGUCCCCAAGGAAACGAUACCACGGGCGUGCGGACAGAUAUUCCUUCCUACAGGGUCGGUGCCAGAAGUCCUCUCUGCAAAGGGAAACAACGUUCGCGUGUCCCCCAUCCCGAGCUUAGGCGUGCCUCAGAGGCAGAAAGGACUAGCAGAGCCCGCCGGGGAUCCUAGCACCCACACCUCCUGCUGCUCCCGGCGUCCACAAACACAGGCCCGAAGGACCCUCCCGAGGACCGCCUGGCUCCGCCUCUCAAAGAAGCCUCGUCUCUCCUCGGGAGCCGUCGGGACACCAUGGUGGUCCUUCCCGGGGUGUAGCCUAAACCCCCUCCCUGUGCUGGUGCAGACCUCCUCCGCUCCAUCCUCCAGACAGCCAGACUCCAGAACAACAAACGCUCACACGUCAAGUCCCUGAAGUCUGCGGCCACCAAAACAGCUCCCAGGUGGCUUGCCCAUCACAGGGUUUCUCUACAAGCUGGGGCUGCAUUCAGGGGAUACGAGGAAAGGCCUACUUCUUCCAAUCAGUCAUCAUGCAAACAACCAGAGCUGAAGCACAUGUUCCCAUCGCACAUCAGCCGGCUCUUCCAGCAGGUGCUGCACAUUAAGCAGCGAGCAAACAGGAUGUGGAGGUCAGGAGAGCUAGCAAACGUGAACAGAACCGUGAAACAUCAUGGGGUGCAGGUGAGACCACGGUUACCAAGCAAUUCCUCUCCUGCCUGUAUCCGAGCCCCAAUCCCCAUUCCCACCACCAUUCGGGGAGUCCAGGAGGCCGGAUUCAUAGUGACGAACCCCAGGUAAAGUGUCCUGAAGACUGGCGAGCAGAUAGCAUCUUGGGAGAAACGCAGCUAUUUUUAAAGCUCUGCAUUCUGUCUAGCAGGUUGCACAGCGUGCGCCUCUGCCUCGGGGCUCCUGCCCACACACCCCUGGAGACGCAGUGGACGUCAGAGACCAAGGCCACCAUGGAGCAGGGAGGCUGGGGCCCCGCCACGCCUUGUCGCAGCCCGGCUCUGCACACAAGUCCAGAAGGGCUGGGGACCCUGCGCUUUGCCGUACACGUAUUUCAUUUUUACUGUCUUUUAAGGAGGGGCUCAAGACUAAAAAGCCAAAAUGGAACUGGUGGCUCUGAGAUAUUUCUGUUUGCUUUGCUCCUUUUUUUUUUUUUAAUGGAAGGGCUUAAACAAUCACAUGAGAAAAGAAGGCUAAAUAUAAAGGGAAACUUUCUGACAGCAACAGGGGCACAGACCCUGAGAAGUUUCAGAGAAGGCAGAGGACACAAGGACCCUGCAGACCUAUUUCUUCUCCAGGAUUUAGGGCCAAAAGGGGAGGGCAUAUCUCUCUGGGAGCAUGGCGUGUCAGGUCACCCCCCUGCAGCCCUGCAGCAGUUCCCACACGGCCGUCUAGGAGUUCUAGACGAGCUCCUAGCAGGAGCUGGAGUCCAUGUCCUUGGUCACCUGGAGGGUCCUCAGCAGACACUUUCACGGUCUUCACCUUUCGCAUUUACCUCUGGGGUAUUUCGAAAAGUGCCUCCACCCGCCCACCCUAAUUCACUCCAACCGUGUCCCUUCAGGAAACAUGGUUACCGCUGCACUCAAGACACGUCUCUGGUGUCCCUCCCCUCUCCUCGUAACGCAGGUCCCGAGUUUCUGGCUAAGAAAUACCUCCAUGGGGCUUCCCUGGUGGUCCAGUGGUUAAGAAUCUGCCGGCCAAUGCGGCGGGGGGGACACAGGUUCGAUCUCUGGUCCAGGAGGCUCUCACCCCCCACCCCCCCGGUGCAGCUGCACGCAUGUGCUGCAGCUCCUGAAGCCCAGUGCCCCAGAGCCUGUGCCCCGUGGCAGGACAAGCCACCGCAAUGAGAAGCCCAAGCAGGGCAGUGACAAGUAGCCCCCACUCUCUGCCACUGCAGACAGCCUGCACGCAGCCACGAAGACCCAGCACAGCC
ensembl:lncRNA